rnacentral:lncRNA from 1 species
UCCAUGCACGUAUACACCUCCUCCUUGUGUUGAGACUCAGCUGCUGAUGUGAUAGACUGAACGUCCUGGGCAUAUGCAUAGAGACACCUCGAGCUUCUUGGUCGGUUUACACGAUUUUUUACCCUUCCGGCAUAUUUUCAUCCCGCGAUCAAUCCCGAAUAUUUUUCGCUCCCGUUCUGAUGAGCUAAAUAUUUUUAAUAAACUCCAAUCUGAACUCUGACCUUGGCGGUAAAUAUUUCCUGAUCCUUCGGCUUCAUUGAAAACUUCCAUAAUACCGAAAUUAGGUUUUUCGUCCAAUUUCGGGUUUUCCUGUCGUUCUUCGAUCCCGUCGUGCGUGCUUCCCGUCAUGCUUAAUUCCCAUCAUGUUUCCAAUGUCUUCGAAAUAAUAUUCCGCUGAUACGAAGUUUCGGGGAAAAUUCGUGUUGAAGAAACGUCAUUCUUCCAAAACGUCGAGCUUCUAAACCGUCGUUCUUCCAAAAAUGUUAUGCUUCCAAAACGUCCGUCUAAACAAUCUAAGACAUCUUCUAACUAUGGCUGAGCAACUUAUUCGAAUCAUAGUUCACUAACGAUCACUUCUUCGCCCACCUCUACUUCGAAGGUUCUCGAUCGAUCCUUAUUGACCGUGCCUUGACCACCACAAAGAUACUCGACUAUUCUCUUUUUCUUUUCUUUUUUUUUGUUUUUUGUUUUUUUUUUAACGGGUUUCUACAUUCUGUAACACCCCCGAACCGUCCUAGGCAUAGGUCGACCCACCGGCCAACAAUCAAACAAGAACAUGACCGACGGACGACCCAAACCAAGUGUUAGAGAUUAGAGGCCAACCGGCCAGCCAACAAUCAAACAAGAACAUGACUGACCAUCCAACCCAACACCAUGGUCCGGAAGCGCUACGUGAUGGGCUAGAGACAACCCGGUCAGAGUCAUAAAAUUUACUCUACGACCUAGACCAGUUCGUCCACUAACACGUCCCGCUAACUUAAGGCUGAAGGCUUUGCAACCCUUACCUAGAGUUAGCAUUUUCCGUUAGAUCGAGGCCUAAG